UUACUUACCUGGUGCCGGGGUUACCCUGAUCAUCUAGGGGGUGCCUCCCCAGGAGAAGGACGCUGCCUUGCACUGCGGUAGUGUUGACCCCUGCCACUACCCCAAACUGGGGCAGAUGGGGCAUGCAAUUUUUUGAUGAUUGAUUGAUUGAGUGAUUGAUUGAU
rnacentral:snRNA from 1 species